rnacentral:misc_RNA from 1 species
AAGUCCACCAAAUCCGGCUUGGCAGGGUCAACUACAGAAAGAACCGCAUCAACUGCCAAUGGAGCAAGAAGCGUCGAAUACUGACUCACCACUUUGCUAUUUAACGAAGUACUUGCAGAUUUAAUUAGGGAUUCACGGUCCGACAAUUCAACAGGUACAGCCAUAGCAGUUAACACAUCAACAGCUUUAAUAGAAACUUUAUGAAGAGAAUCAGAGAUUAUCGUGGGGUGGAUUCCACUGGAUAGGAGCGUAAGACACUGUUUCAACAGCGCCCCACCAAUAACGACGACGGUCGUUGUACCAUCACCGGCAGCGGCAUCCUGAGACUUGGAGAGCUCGACAAGCAUUUUCGCAGCAGGCUGAAGAACCUCCAUUUUGUUGAGAAUAGUAGCGCCAUCAUUGGUUAUAAUAACCUCGCCACUCGCCGUCGAAAUCAUCUUGUCCAUUCCUUUGGGGCCAAGGCUGGUCCUAACGGCAUCGGCCACAGCUCUGGCCGCCACGAUGUUGGCGUGGCGGAUAUCCUCCUUGCGUUUAUUAUCGACGUAGGACUCGGUCUUGGAGGAUCUGGGCUCCCCGAUAGCCGGUGCUGCCAUCGAUACUGCAGAAGUGGAAGAUGAAAAACCCUAACCCAAAUGAAGGCUAACAGAAAUGCGAGAUUCAAAUUGGGAGAGGUAAAGUAGGAGCAAAAGCGAGAGUUCAAGAAAGAAGAGGAUCUAUUGGAAGCUGGCACUAAGAACCCUAAAGAACGAGAGUGAAGCCUCUAGAGAAAACGGGAG